rnacentral:tRNA from 1 species
GGAGGAUUGGCCGAGUGGUAAGGCAGCGGGUUGCUAACCCGUAACGGGUCACACCGUCGUGGGUUCGACUCCCUCAUCCUCCGCCA